rnacentral:lncRNA from 1 species
ACCUAAAUCUUUAUAUUAGUGUCACCACACAAGUAAUUGUGAGAUCCAUCAUUCUCUCCAUCGAGCAUACAAAGGACGUACCAGUCUUACCAGCAUCAUUGAUCUCUGACUUGAUGACCCAACGACUGAAAAUAUUUUAGUUUGAGAUUAUUAAGAUUUUAAGUCUCACUGGCAUGAUCUCAUUAUGGCCCUAAAAUCAUUAUCCCAAUCUAAGUGGUUUAUUAUAAUCAUAAAAAUAUGAUGCAGCAAAUGAUAAACACAAUACCUCAUGAAUAAAAAUAACUAAUAUCAUGCAAAUGAAUAGAAAAAAAAAUAUAAAAAAAUUUUUUCGCAUCCCCAUGCGAUUGACUUAUAGGGUACUAUUCUUUCAAUCUCCCACUUGCACUAAAGCUAAUUGCCCCUAUACCUGAUGCCCAUGCAAUCAGGAUGGCGAACACACUGCUACUGUAUAAAGACUUAGUCAACUGGUCCAUUAUGAUGUUCUUAAUAUUAAUUUAUUUUAUGAUCAAAUCAUGAAUGAGGUGAAAGUGCCUAAAAUAUGUAUGGGUACCUUAUGAGACCACACCCAACUCAGUGAUGAAUCCUUUCAUCAGGCAAUUUUUCUUAGCAAUCUUUACUAACAGCAAAUAACUGAGUAAAACAUAAUUUGCUGUUUGAAACUCUUCUAAUACACUACCCUUUAGUACUUCUCAAGUAUUUUGAGAAUGCUUAUCACAUUUUUCAAAAAAUCUUAUCACGGAUCUACCUAAAAUCAAUGAUUAUGCACAAGGCAUGAUCUACAUCAGGCUUGGUACAUGGGUAAGUAGACUCCUUUGCAUCCAUUUAUGUUGAACCCUUUCAACAUAAAAAUCAUGUACCUAGACUGAGACAAGCCCAGCAUCCACUUACAUCUAUCACUAUAGAUGCCUAGUAUAUUGGAUGCUACACCCAAAUCUUUACCAUGAAAACUUCUACGAUAUGCAUGUUAUUGACCGAGUGCAAUAUUGGAACUAUCUUUCCAAUAUGCAGUAUAUCUUCCACAUACAUAAGAAGUUAGUGGGUCUCCCACUUAUCUUCUUACACACACAUAUAGUUCUCUAUAUUUGAUAAAGUCAAACAUUUUGACUAUCUCAUCAAAAAAUAGAAGUACCAUCUCCUCAAUACCCGCUAUAAUCCAUAAAUAGAUUUGCCCUCCCAUUAGAGACAAACUUUCUAAAUGGUAUGAGGCAAUAGCAAGCAAAAAUCCAUGUUGACAUUCCUAUUAACAACCUAUUGUAUCACACCCAUAGGUGCUUCAAUCAUAGUCCAUACUUGAUUGAUGCACAGAGAGUUCAUUUCGGAUGUCAUGAUUUCAAACCAACUGUUAGAGUCUCUGCUCAUGACAAUCUCCGAAUAGGUCAAAACAACAUCAUUCACAAUGAUGUAUGGUGUAUAGUCAUUCACAAUGAUAAAAUUCAUAUUUUAAGUGGUAUAUUAUACACUCAGACUGACCUUCAGUGAGGAGGUGUGUGUCAUGGCUAUGUCUCAUCAAUAAGUAUAUCUUGUCGAAGAUCAACUUGUGGACACUCUACAGAUUAUGAUAGGAUAGUUUAUAGGUCUUGAACUUCUCAAGUUCAAUUAUCCACCCACUGUCCCCUUCAUAAAAAAAAAAAAUUUCAAAAGAUAGCAUACCUACUGACAAAGCACUUUUAUCUAAUAGGGUGGUAGAAGUAGUAUCACAUACUUAGGAUAACUUAUAAACUUAUAUAAACCUGUUCUAGCAUAAAAUUUAUGUACAUCAACUUUUUUUACAUAAAUUGGACAACCUGCCUCUUAUCCUUUUUCAUAUCUCAUAUGGAAUGCUAAUAAUAGACUUUGUUAGUAUCUAAUUCAAAAAUAUAUGCAGCAAUUUCUAGGGCAUAUCUCCAGAAUGAGAAUCAAAAUUUGUGAAGCAUAUUAAGAAACACACUAUAUCUCAUAUGUGGUGUUCAUCUUUGGAUCGAGAUAUUAUUAGUCUUCGAGCAUCCAUAUAUACAAGGCCUAAUAAUUUGCUCGCCUUAUCCCAUAUCCAGUAAAUGAGAUCUUGAUCAUUUAAUCUAUGAGACAAGAUUUAUAUGAUUUAUAUGAUUCAAAAUUAUACAGACAAAUAACUCUUUUUUGUAUUACUUAUUUAUUUUUGACUCACAAAAGUAGCCAAAUUGACAAUGUCAGAAAUAUGUGACCAUCACAUAUUCAUUUCUUGUUCUCAUCAACAUGAAGAAUAAUAUUAUUGAGUGAUAGAAAUAUAAGACCAUAGCCAUAAAAUUUAUCAGAAAGAGAGCAACUUUUACUCUUUACAUCAAUUUCAAAAUCAUAUUACUAUAAUAUAGGAAUUGAAAUAAUAUUUUUGAUAAAUUAAGGCAUAUAACAAUGGUUUAUUAGUUUUUAAAUAAAUAGGUUCCGAUAGCCUUAGCAUGCAUGAACUAUCCAUUAAUGUCAAAAGGAAAGUAGUCACCUUACUUCAGCUUUAUAGGUCCAGCAACACUUUGCAUAAGUGAAACUUAUAUUAGAUAUCACAUACCCAAAAUUUUAAAGUUGAAACACUCAAUAAUUAAAUUAGUUUGUAUCACAUACAAAUCAUUAGUAGAUGCAACUUUUGUAUCCUACUAUUGCUUCAUACUUGCAAGACAACUCUUGCAAUUAAUCUCUAAUGCUUAUCAUUAUUGUAAUAAUAUUAGAUAUCCUUAGUGAAGAUAUUCUUCACCUAUCUUCUCCUGAAAGAUACUAAAGAAGAAAUUUAGGAGAGUUCGUAAGAUCUUAUCCUAGAUUAACUCACCAUCCAUGAUAUUGACUUAAUCGCAUAAUUAAAUCAAUCAGGAUAUAUUUGACAGCUAUAUUGUCACCCCCCCAUAUCUUAUAUGUGGUAUUUUCUUCUAUAUAAUAUCAACUCCGAUCAAAUCAAAACUAGGAGAAUAUGAGACUAUCUCCUAUAUGAGAACUAUUCUCAGGGUCCUCAACUAUUCCAUGAAAUUCGAUCAAUUUUAAAAACAUACCAUGUAGUGAUAGUGAAGAUGUAGACAAAUAUAUAAAAACAUAAAAGGACUACUCAUGAUCACAUGCACAAUUUAGAUGAGAUUUUUUAUCUAAUUGUGUCUCCCACUAUUUUAGCGAAUUUCAUAGCCCUUAAGUAUGAAAAUCGAGAAACCUUAUCAUGAAGUUUCUUAGUGGGGUUGAGAUCCCAAUUCUUUAUAAAAAAUCUUGUGGAUAGCACAACAAGCUCCUAUGAGUUCAAGGGUAGGUAACUCUUUACCAAUUAAAUCUCAUACAACUUUCAACAUAACUUGUCUCUAAAAUACUUAUAGCCUUGUGAAUAGUACAACAAACUAUAGUAUUUUAGUUAAGUCAUACCCUUCAAUCUUAUAUGGUCAUAUUUGAAUAAUACUAUCCUUAUGGAUAGUACAACAAAGCAGCACUACCAGAAUAUGCUAUAAGCAUCACUUAGUCAACACUAUAUCAAAUCCUAUAGCAAGCCUUGUGGAUAGUAUAACAAACUCACUACAGUUUUUGACAUACUCUAUUGACUUAGUAUGAACUAAAUACCAUUAACUUCAUUAUGUACC